rnacentral:rRNA from 1 species
GAUGAACGCUAGCUACAGGCUUAACACAUGCAAGUCGAGGGGAAACGGCAUUAAGUGCUUGCACUUUUUGGACGUCGACCGGCGCACGGGUGAGUAACGCGUAUCCAACCUUCCCAUGACUAAGGGAUAACCUGCCGAAAGGCAGACUAAUACCUUAUGGUCUUCACUGACGGCAUCAGAUGUGAAGUAAAGAUUUAUCGGUUAUGGAUGGGGAUGCGUCUGAUUAGCUUGUUGGCGGGGUAACGGCCCACCAAGGCAACGAUCAGUAGGGGUUCUGAGGGGAAGGUCCCCCACAUUGGAACUGAGACACGGUCCAAACUCCUACGGGAGGCAGCAGUGAGGAAUAUUGGUCAAUGGGCGAGAGCCUGAACCAGCCAAGUAGCGUGCAGGAUGACGGCCCUAUGGGUUGUAAACUGCUUUUGUAUGGGGAUAAAGUCAAUCACGUGUGAUUGUUUGCAGGUACCAUACGAAUAAGGACCGGCUAAUUCCGUGCCAGCAGCCGCGGUAAUACGGAAGGUCCGGGCGUUAUCCGGAUUUAUUGGGUUUAAAGGGAGCGUAGGCUGGAGAUUAAGUGUGUUGUGAAAUGUAGACGCUCAACGUCUGACUUGCAGCGCAUACUGGUUUCCUUGAGUACGCACAACGUUGGCGGAAUUCGUCGUGUAGCGGUGAAAUGCUUAGAUAUGACGAAGAACUCCGAUUGCGAAGGCAGCUGACGGGAGCGCAACUGACGCUGAAGCUCGAAGGUGCGGGUAUCGAACAGG